rnacentral:rRNA from 1 species
GUACACGCUGUGACUAGCAUAUCAAUAAGCGGAGGAAAAGAAACUAACAAGGAUUCCCUUAGUAACGGCGAGUGAAGCGGGAAGAGCUCAAAUUUGAAAUCUUAAAGGGUUUCCCUUUACGAAUUGUAGUUUAAAGAAGUGUUUUCUGUUAGAGUUUCGGUAAAAGUUCUUUGGAAUAGGACAUCAUAGAGGGUGAGAAUCCCGUAUUUGACCGUUAUUUUCAGCUUUGUGAUACACUUUCAAAGAGUCGGAUUGUUUGGGAAUGCAGUCCAAAAUGGGUGGUAAAUUUCAUCUAAAGCUAAAUAUUGGCGAGAGACCGAUAGCGAACAAGUACCGUGAGGGAAGGAUGAAAAGAACUUUGAAAAGAGAGUUAAACAGUACGUGAAAUUGUCAAAAGGGAAGCGUUUGACACCAGUGUUGUUUUUCUGAAAAUCAAUUAAAGAACUGUUUAUGCUAAGUUGUUUAGACUUUAUCAGCUAACUGUUUAGUUUUGAGCUUUUCUUUAAUGCACUCUUCAGUUAACAAGUCAACAUCAAUUUCUUUUGCUGUAAAAAAGCUUGAGGAAGGUGGCUUGAGAUUCGUCUUAAGUGUUUAUAGCCUUUGGCCUCUGCAAUCGGAGAGACUGAGGUCUGCAGCGUAGAUCCUUCGGGGUUAGAUACAUUUGUGCUAAGUUAUAGCUUUUUAUAGACAACUUGUUGACUAUAAUUAGUCUUGUAGCUUACUCGCUUAUGCUAUUUUACCUACGCUUAGGAUGUUGAGCGCAUGUCUCUCUCU